AAGUCUCAAGCAACAUAGCUUCAUUGCUAUGUUUGUUUGGAUCUGGACUUUGCUGCGUCAAUGUGGCUCGUCUUAAAUACAUUAGCUGGUCCUUUUGAGGGCUUGGUUCUACUCGACGUGAUAAUUAUCUAACGUUGAGGACAGUUUCAGGACUGGCCAAGUGUCUUUUUGGAUUGCUUCUAAUCGUCUGUUGGACAAUUUAUCAAAU
rnacentral:misc_RNA from 1 species